GAAAUUAGCAAGUCGAUUGAUUUAAUGAUAAUCGACUCGAAAAUGAUGAAGUCUUUUCCGAAAGACAAUCAGAUAUGGAGUUUCUAGAUGACAGUGAUCAAUCCGACAGUGAACUUUCAUUUUACAGACAAGUGGAUCAACAGAUAUAAUGCCAAUGCAGACUAAGGUUGUUUGACACAUUUCUACACAGGACAAGGCUGACGAUGAUUGAACACAAUACGCAGUCAUUUCUUUGUGAUCGGUAUGUACAGAGGGGAAACAGCGACGACAAUUGUGAACUAUGCAAUACAUCAGCAUUAUACAGACAAAUAUGGAAACUAACGUAGAAGGAACCAACACAUAAAAGUUGACAGUUUUUUCUUUCGCUGGUGGAACAAAAUACAUAAACGAUGAAGGCGAUACCAUUGAUUCUGACUGUGAUGGUGAUAACGACAAGGAGGGUGAUGAAUGUAAAGACGAAGACGACAGCUGCGAAUGAAACGGUGGUGAUGUUGAUGAUGAGAGUGGUGGUAACAGUGGUAAUAACGACAACAGGGGUGAUGACUUUGAAGUUGAAAAUGAUAUCACUGAAUGUGGAGGUGUUGAUGACGUUGACGGCGACAACAGCAAAGAUGUAGACGAUAAUAACAGCGACUGUGAUGAAGUUGAAAUGGAGGUUGACAUGUUAAAAAAAAUCAGCGAGGGAUGAACAUAAAACUUUCGGAGGGACGACGGAACGUGCGAUGAUUUACAUGUGUUGGACAUAAUCAACGACGAUGGAAAAGGAGAAAAACUGACGAACGACUGAGGUAAACGAUUUCUUGUGGCUGACGUACACGAAAAAAGUGGUGUCACAGACGAAAAUGAGUUCACAGGCGUCAAAUACAAAUCUUUUUUUCUGGUUGGACACGGAUCAUACAACACAUUUAACAUUGAGAAAUUUACAGGACAGGACAGAGGUUUUUCACGUAAAUCAAUGUACAUAAGUCUUGGGUACGCACGAAUAACAUCAAGUUCAUUCACAGCUUUAAUGUUGUUUCGUCUCAACGACAAAAUCCUUAUUCGUGUAUUUUUUACCGUUCCGACAGGAACAUGCUUCAGAUUCAUGUUAGAACAAUCUAACAUACGAUAUCGCUUCACAUAACCACAUUUUUCACCAUGGGUUGCACAUGCCGUCAUAAAAAAAAAAAACAUGCAGACAGCAAGGAAUUCAUUAUGGCAAUUGGAAAAGUUACAAACAACUCUUGUGAACUAUGAAUGUAGUUACAAAAUGAAUGAACGAUUAAAAGGCACGCCUAUGCUUGUGAGGAUUUUAAAGUAAAACCCUCAAGUGCUUUUUAAAAUUUUCUGUCAUAAAUAUAUGCUUGAGUAAGACUUGUUCAUAUGUAAUCAAAGAGACUUUGUUGUUUGAUUGAUGUAGAUAAUUAGAAAAAUAUUUAAUAAAAAUUGCUCAAUGUCCAAUGUA